GUAGGGAAUAUUGGGCAAUGGAGGCAACUCUGACCCAGCCAUGCCGCGUGCAGGAUGACGGCCCUCUGGGUUGUAAACUGCUUUUAUACGGGAAGAAAAAAUACUACGUGUAGUAUGCUGACGGUACCGUAAGAAUAAGGAUCGGCUAACUCCGUGCCAGCAGCCGCGGUAAUACGGAGGAUCCAAGCGUUGUCCGGAUUUAUUGGGUUGAAAGGGUGCGUAGGCGGAUCUUUAAGUCAGUGGUGAAAGCCUGUAGCUUAACUGUAGAAUUGCCAUUGAAACUGAAGAUCUUGAAUGUGGUUAAAGUAGGCGGAAUGUAUCAUGUAGCGGUGAAAUGCUUAGAUAUGAUACAGAACACCGAUAGCGAAGGCAGCUUGCUGAACCAUUAUUGACGCUGAGGCACGAAAGCGUGGGGAGCGAACAGGAUUAGAAACCCGUGUAGUCC
rnacentral:rRNA from 1 species